CAAAACUAAAUGUAAUACAGUAACUCUUCUAUGAUGACUCUAAACCUAUGGGAACAUGCACUCCUAAACUCUUAAUCUGUGUUGGACUUGGAUCCUUAAUAGAAAAACGUGAAACUAGGAGAAAACCUAAAGAAAAGUUACACAUUAAUGAUUGAUUUGAAACUUGUAAACCUAAAAGAAGAAAUUUUGACACCUAUUUUACCUACUUCUGGUAAACUUAGAAACGAUAUAACAUGUGCCUGAAAAUUUUAAAUAUUCAAUAUUUUGUUGGUCGGGUCUGGAUGUUCUAUGACUGAUGGCAUCUUCAUUGGAUACACAAAGUGAGUAAUAGCUAUGCAUGUCAGAUUCUUCCCUUGUAUUUUUUGUGAUUUUGACCGACUGCUAGGGAAAAUUUGUUAGUGAGAAAGUUUGCUUACAAUUACUACAACUGAAGCUAGGUUAUGUCUUACUCAAGCCACAUAUAAUAGGAGGUCCCAAAUAUGUGAGAGGUAUCCAGCUGUGCUGCUCCUAACCAUUAUCUAUUAGGUCAAACUUCUUUUCAUCAAAUAUUGAUUAUAUGAUCUGUGGAAG
rnacentral:misc_RNA from 1 species